UAAAAAUAAUUUACACGACCAAAAAAGGUAAAAUGAAAUAUUAUAGGAAAAGAUGGGAAUUGGGAAAGGGGUUGUCAUAGGCGUGGGUGAGAGGGAGACAGUAAACCAAACACGAAUUACUCAAAAAAGAAAAGAUUGCGCAUCCUCCGUUCCGGUGUUCUCGGCCCGGGUAUGUAAAACUUUGGCAUUCUACGUUGUACAGAAUCUGCAAAACUUGGUGCCCUCCUAUUUUGGAUCAAAUCUAUUUGCCAUCUCUUUGCUCUUCUACUUCCACUAAAUCGGACCGGCAGCUCAACCAUGAUUUCUCCUGGAUUUCACGACUUCAAUGGACCACUUCAGCUUUGUAAUCACGCCAAUGAUUCAAAUCCUCAUAACAUCUAUGCAUUUUCUCCACCCUUUGUCCGGAGGGGUAAUGAUAAUGACAUUCCUUUGUUUAGAAGAGGGUUUUGUAGUGUAAGAAAUUACAAGCUUUCUGUCGUUUGUGCCAUCCCACAAGCUUCAAUUAAGAACCAUUUUGCACCUAUUUCUCACUUGAAUAUUGAUGAUUCUAAGAACCCUUCAAUUGAAACAGCUCUGAUAUUAAUUCGACAUGGUGAGUCAAUGUGGAACGAGAAGAAUUUAUUCACUGGCUCUGUUGAUGUACCUUUAACAAGGAGAGGUGUAGAGGAAGCAAUUGAAGCUGGUAAGAGGAUUUGCAACAUACCACUAGACUUUGUGUAUACUUCUGCGUUAAUUCGCUCGCAAAUGACAGCUGUGCUUGCUUUGACUCAACAUCGCUGCAAAAAGACAAACUUGUGCUUUCAGGUGCCUAUAAUUAUGCAUGAUUGUAGUAAACAGGCAGAGGCAUGGAGUCAAAUUUACAGUGAUGAGGCUAAAAAGCAAUCAUUUCCUGUUAUUAGAGCUUGGCAAUUGAAUGAAAGAAUGUACGGUGAGCUACAGGGAUGGGAUAAACAGGAGAUUUCCAAAAGAUACGGUAAAGAGCAAGUGCAUGAAUGGCGUCGGAGCUAUGAUAUUCCUCCGCCUGAGGGUGAGAGCUUGGAGAUGUGCUCACAAAGAGCAGUCGGAUAUUUUAAGGAACAUAUUGAACCACAGCUGCAAUCUGGGAAGCAUGUUAUGGUUGCAGCCCAUGCCAAUUCGCUAAGGUGUAUUAUCAUGUAUCUAGAAAAAUUGACUUCUUGCGAGGUAAUUAACUUGGAACUAUCAACUGGGGUACCAUUACUUUACAUAUACAAGGAGGGAUCGUUUAUGAAGCGAGGGAGUCCUGUAGGUCCUUCGGAAGCUGGUGUAUAUGCAUUAACUAAGGCAAGAAUCUUCUACCUCUUCAUUGACCUCAUCUCUUUUAAUAACUGACGUCUCGAUAUUUGCUUGCAAAACUUCAGUAUUCAUUUCAAAUAUUGCUAUGCUAACCAUUUAUUAAAAUUGACCAAAGUGGAGAAAAGAACAAAAUAGUGGCUGUUGUGGUAUAUAUUGAUACGGAAAAUAUCCAUGAAAUAACUAGGGAUCCUUGAUCAAAUGCUGACAUUCAUAUUGGUGCUUUAGGAAGCAUUGACAAACGUCUUAACAUAAGAGGAAAAAAAGCAGAGAACUGGUACAUUUUUCUGUCAGUUUUGCUCCAUCCCAUCACUUGAUCGAUUAACAUCUUUGUUUCUUGGUAUAUUUUGUGCAGAGUUUAGCACUUUACAGGCAAGAGUUGGACGAAAUGUCUUGCUGAAUUCCCUAAAGUUCAGUGAAAUAGGAAACCAGUGGACUCACAGGGGCUUGCUUCUUCUUCUUGUUCUAAAACCAAACGGUUCAUACUAAUUACAAAUUGUUUGUUGCUCGUAUGUGGAGAAGUGAUCUCUGUUUCUGUAGUGUUAUUGAGGUUAUCUGCAGCUGGCUCAAGCACUUCCUGAAAGGACUAGAACAGGAAAAAUAGGUAUUUCACAGAAGCCAUAGAUACAAAUUUUCUUCUUAGUUCAUCUUGAACGCCGUGCACUUGAUUGUAAUUGUUCAUAUCUAUUUUGUUGUAGAGAAACCAAAUUAUAAUUAUGAAUAGUUACUACCCAAUUUGCUAA